rnacentral:rRNA from 1 species
GAUGAACGCUGGCGGCGUGCCUAAUACAUGCAAGUCGAGCGAAUGGAUUAAGAGCUUGCUCUUAUGAAGUUAGCGGCGGACGGGUGAGUAACACGUGGGUAACCUGCCCAUAAGACUGGGAUAACUCCGGGAAACCGGGGCUAAUACCGGAUAACAUUUUGAACCGCAUGGUUCGAAAUUGAAAGGCGGCUUCGGCUGUCACUUAUGGAUGGACCCGCGUCGCAUUAGCUAGUUGGUGAGGUAACGGCUCACCAAGGCAACGAUGCGUAGCCGAACUGAGAGGGUGAUCGGCCACACUGGGACUGAGACACGGCCCAGACUCCUACGGGAGGCAGCAGUAGGGAAUCUUCCGCAAUGGACGAAAGUCUGACGGAGCAACACCGCGUGAGUGAUGAAGGCUUUCGGGUCGUAAAACUCUGUUGUUAGGGAAGAACAAGUGCAAGUUGAAUAAGCUGGCACCUUGACGGUACCUAACCAGAAAGCCACGGCUAACUACGUGCCAGCCGCCGCAGUAA